rnacentral:misc_RNA from 1 species
AUAUCUAUCCACUUUAAACUUUUACCUUUGGGUGUUGAGGUUUGAAGCUGGGAAAUUGGGGGGUUUUAUUGCUAGUCUUUUCGACUUGCUCCCCUUAAAUAUAUUAGUGAAGAUGAACUCUGCAGCUAGGGAAACAAGCUUGAAGGGGUUGAUGUGAUAGACAACUUCAAUGUGUUCUAUCGACCUCUUAGUGUACUCCUGUUUGACCUGCAAUAAAGCUUCUUCUCUUUGCUUUCUAACAGUGGUCAUAACAGCACCACAAAGUUUCCUUGA